rnacentral:tRNA from 2 species
GGCGAUGUAGCUCAGAACCCGGCAGAGCGCUCGGCUCAUAACCGAGAGGUCGCGGGUUCGAGUCCCGCCAUCGCCG